CGCGGGUGAGUCUGCCUUGGUCAGGUUUCUUGUUUACAAAGUUGCUUUUUUCUCUGUUUCCGUGCUGUGCUCCCUGGAAGGAAGUCUCCAUGUGCAGCCCACACUGAGGGAAAUACAAGGCCACUCAUGACUGUGUGACCUGGGCAGGCUACUUAACCUCUGUGUCUCAGUUUCCUUAUCUGGGAAACAGGCUGAUAUUCCCACCACACAGGGCUGUCGCUGGCUGGCACAUGGAACGUUCAGAACGGUGUCUGGUUGUAAAGCCUGGGGCAACAGCAAGACGGCAGCAGCCAUGGCGAGGCAGAAGAGUCAACGCCAGCCCAGGAAGCAUCAGGAAGUCCACAUCAGGGGAGUGAGAUGGACAGGUAGGGCAGGUGGUCAAACAGUUAGCCAGGUGCAGCCCAGAUGGGCAUGCUAGAGAGGAUACCAUGCCAGGAGGGGGCCGGUGGGAACCAGUGGGUUUCUUGAACACCGGACUGGACUUCUUUUGGGUGCCAGAGAUCAAGGAAGGUGGAACAUUCUAGAGGCCUGAGACCCAGUUGGCUGCCCUCACACUGGACAGACAAGGAAGUUGCCCUGUAACCCUCACCAGAAGCCUGGAGAUAAUUUUAGAGGCCUGCCUGGAGUUUGAAGAACGCUCCUGAAAGAGAGGGACUCAGCUGGUGCAACCCUUCCCCUUUCCUCUUUCUCCUUGCUUUGAACAUGGAUCUAAUGGCAGGAGCUAAGGCAGCCAUCUUGUGACCAUGAGGAAAGAGACUGACAGCAGUUUCAGCCGGGCAUGCCUCAGCCAUUGAACAGCACCUUAGAUUUCUCACGUGAGAAAAAUAAAUUCCUGUUUGUUUAAAUCACUGAAGUAGUUUUUUG
rnacentral:lncRNA from 10 species